UGCAAGUCGAGGGGUAACAGGAAAGCUUGCUUUUGCUGACGACCGGCGCACGGGUGCGUAACGCGUAUGCAACCUACCUCAUACAGGAGAAUAGCCCUUGGAAACGAGGAUUAAUACUCCAUGGUAUCAUUCUUUCGCAUGUUAGAAUGAUUAAAGAAUUUCGGUAUGAGAUGGGCAUGCGUCCCAUUAGCUUGUUGGUGAGGUAACGGCUCACCAAGGCAACGAUGGGUAGGGGGCCUGAGAGGGUGGUCCCCCACACUGGUACUGAGACACGGACCAGACUCCUACGGGAGGCAGCAGUGAGGAAUAUUGGUCAAUGGAGGAAACUCUGAACCAGCCAUGCCGCGUGAAGGAUGACGGCCCUAUGGGUUGUAAACUUCUUUUAUAUGGGAAGAAACUUAUCUACGUGUAGAUAACUGACGGUACCAUACGAAUAAGGAUCGGCUAACUCCGUGCCAGCAGCCGCGGUAAUACGGAGGAUCCAAGCGUUAUCCGGAUUCAUUGGGUUUAAAGGGUCCGUAGGCGGAUUUUUAAGUCAGUGGUGAAAGCCGACAGCUCAACUGUCGAACUGCCAUUGAUACUGGAAAUCUUGAGUACAAAUGAAGUAGGCGGAAUGAGUCAUGUAGCGGUGAAAUGCAUAGAUAUGACUCAGAACACCGAUUGCGAAGGCAGCUUACUAACAUGUAACUGACGCUGAGGGACGAAAGCGUGGGGAGCGAACAGGAUUAGAUACCCUGGUAGUCCACGCCGUAAACGAUCAUCACUCGCUGUUGGCGAUAUACUAUCAGCGGCCAAGCGAAAGUAUUAAGUGAUGCACCUGGGGAGUACGCCGGCAACGGUGAAACUCAAAGGAAUUGACGGGGGCCCGCACAAGCGGUGGAGCAUGUGGUUUAAUUCGAUGAUACGCGAGGAACCUUACCAGGGCUUAAAU
rnacentral:rRNA from 1 species